GACCGCGUAGCUCAGUUGGCAGAACAUUGGGCUGGUAUUCCAAAGGUCGUAGGUUCGAUUCCCACCGUGGCUA
rnacentral:tRNA from 1 species